AAUCAACGCUGGCGGCGUGCCUAACACAUGCAAGUCGGACGUGAAAGGGGUUUCGGCCCUAAGUAGCGUGGCGGACGGGUGAGGAACGCGUGGGUGACCUGCCCUGCAGAGGGGGAUAACCCUCCGAAAGGGGGGCUAAUACCGCAUGAGCCCGAGAGGGGAAAGACGGUGAGUCGCUGCGGGAGGGGCCUGCGUCCGAUUAGCUAGUUGGUGAGGUAACGGCUCACCAAGGCGACGAUCAGUAGCCGACCUGAGAGGGUAAUCGGCCACAUUGGAACUGAGACACGGUCCAAACUCCUACGGGAGGCAGCAGUGGGGAAUAUUGCACAAUGGGCGAAAGCCUGAUGCAGCAACGCCGCGUGAGCGAUGAAGGCCUUUGGGUCGUAAAGCUCUGUCCUUGGGGAAGAAACAAAUGACGGUACCCUUGGAGGAAGCCCCGGCUAACUACGUG
rnacentral:rRNA from 1 species